AGUGAACGCUGGCGGUAGGCCUAACACAUGCAAGUCGAACGGCAGCACAGUAAGAGCUUGCUCUUACGGGUGGCGAGUGGCGGACGGGUGAGGAAUACAUCGGAAUCUACUUUUUCGUGGGGGAUAACGUAGGGAAACUUACGCUAAUACCGCAUACGACCUACGGGUGAAAGCAGGGGAUCUUCGGACCUUGCGCGAUUGAAUGAGCCGAUGUCGGAUUAGCUAGUUGGCGGGGUAAAGGCCCACCAAGGCGACGAUCCGUAGCUGGUCUGAGAGGAUGAUCAGCCACACUGGAACUGAGACACGGUCCAGACUCCUACGGGAGGCAGCAGUGGGGAAUAUUGGACAAUGGGCGCAAGCCUGAUCCAGCCAGACCGCGUGGGUGAAGAAGGCCUUCGGGUUGUAAAGCCCUUUUGUUGGGAAAGAAAAGCAGCAGGUUAAUACCCCGCUGUUCUGACGGUACCAAAAGAAUAAGCACCGGCGAACUUCGU
rnacentral:rRNA from 1 species